rnacentral:rRNA from 1 species
GAUGAACGCUAGCGGCAGGCCUAACACAUGCAAGUCGAGGGGCAGCACAGGUAGCAAUACUGGGUGGCGACCGGCGGAUGGGUGCGUAACGCGUAUGCAACCUACCAUUGAUUGGGGGCAUAGCCCGAAGAAAUUCGGAUUAAUACUCCAUAAUAUUCAUCAAAGGCAUCUUUUAUGAAUUAAAGCUUUUGCGAUCAAUGAUGGGCAUGCGUGACAUUAGUUAGUUGGUGAGGUAACGGCUCACCAAAACGAUGAUGUCUAGGGGUUCUGAGAGGAUUAUCCCCCACACUGGUACUGAGACACGGACCAGACUCCUACGGGAGGCAGCAGUGAGGAAUAUUGGUACAAUGGACGCAAGUCUGAACCAGCCAUGCCGCGUGCGAGGAUGACGGCCCUAUGGGGUUAGUAAACUGUCCUUUUCCACGGGAACGAACCCUCCGACGUGUCGGAGACUGACGGUACCGUGGGAAUAAGCAUCGGCUAACUCCGUGCC